AGACCCGAAACCCGGUGAUCUAGCCAUGGGCAGGUUGAAGGUUGGGUAACACUAACUGGAGGACCGAACCGACUAAUGUUGAAAAAUUAGCGGAUGACCUGUGGCUGGGGGUGAAAGGCCAAUCAAACCGGGAGAUAGCUGGUUCUCCCCGAAAGCUAUUUAGGUAGCGCCUCGUGAAUUCAUCUCCGGGGGUAGAGCACUGUUUCGGCUAGGGGGUCAUCCCGACUUACCAACCCGAUGCAAACUGCGAAUACCGGAGAAUGUUAUCACGGGAGACACACGGCGGGUGCUAACGUCCGUCGUGAAGAGGGAAACAACCCAGACCGCCAGCUAAGGUCCCAAAGUCAUGGUUAAGUGGGAAACGAUGUGGGAAGGCCCAGACAGCCAGGAUGUUGGCUUAGAAGCAGCCAUCAUUUAAAGAAAGCGUAAUAGCUCACUGGUCGAGUCGGCCUGCGCGGAAGAUGUAACGGGGCUAAACCAUGCACCGAAGCUGCGGCAGCGACACUCAGGUGUUGUUGGGUAGGGGAGCGUUCUGUAAGCCUGCGAAGGUGGCCUGUGAGGGUUGCUGGAGGUAUCAGAAGUGCGAAUGCUGACAUAAGUAACGAUAAAGCGGGUGAAAAGCCCGCUCGCCGGAAGACCAAGGGUUCCUGUCCAACGUUAAUCGGGGCAGGGUGAGUCGACCCCUAAGGCGAGGCCGAAAGGCGUAGUCGAUGGGAAACGGGUUAAUAUUCCCGUACUUGGUGUUACUGCGAAGGGGGGACGGAGAAGGCUAUGUUGGCCGGGCGACGGUUGUCCCGGUUUAAGCGUGUAGGUGUGUGUUCCAGGUAAAUCCGGUUCACUUUAACACUGAGGCGUGAUGACGAGGCACUACGGUGCUGAAGCAACAAAUGCCCUGCUUCCAGGAAAAGCCUCUAAGCAUCAGGUAACAUCAAAUCGUACCCCAAACCGACACAGGUGGUCAGGUAGAGAAUACCAAGGCGCUUGAGAGAACUCGGGUGAAGGAACUAGGCAAAAUGGUGCCGUAACUUCGGGAGAAGGCACGCUGACACGUAGGUGAAGUGAUUUACUCAUGGAGCUGAAGUCAGUCGAAGAUACCAGCUGGCUGCAACUGUUUAUUAAAAACACAGCACUGUGCAAACACGAAAGUGGACGUAUACGGUGUGACGCCUGCCCGGUGCCGGAAGGUUAAUUGAUGGGGUCAGCGCAAGCGAAGCUCCUGAUCGAAGCCCCGGUAAACGGCGGCCGUAACUAUAACGGUCCUAAGGUAGCGAAAUUCCUUGUCGGGUAAGUUCCGACCUGCACGAAUGGCGUAAUGAUGGCCAGGCUGUCUCCACCCGAGACUCAGUGAAAUUGAACUCGCUGUGAAGAUGCAGUGUACCCGCGGCAAGACGGAAAGACCCCGUGAACCUUUACUAUAGCUUGACACUGAACAUUGAGCCUUGAUGUGUAGGAUAGGUGGGAGGCUUUGAAGCGUGGACGCCAGUCUGCGUGGAGCCGACCUUGAAAUACCACCCUUUAAUGUUUGAUGUUCUAACGUGGACCCGUGAUCCGGGUUGCGGACAGUGUCUGGUGGGUAGUUUGACUGGGGCGGUCUCCUCCUAAAGAGUAACGGAGGAGCACGAAGGUUGGCUAAUCCUGGUCGGAC
rnacentral:rRNA from 1 species